CCAUGCACAAGUAGGUUUCCUGCCAGCAUCCCCUCCCCACUUCUCUUCCUAUGACCAUCCCUCUUAAUUCCCUUCUGUCUCUCCUCAGCGGCCCGCCUAAGUCCAGUGCCUCCCAAGCAGGGGCUGCAGCGGGGCAGGGAGCCCCCGCCCCUGCCCCCGCCUCCCAAGAGCCCCUUCCCAUAGCUGGACCAGGUGGGACAGGGAUUUUGGGAGGAGGAUGGGGCCUGUGUUGGUGAGGGCUGGUUGGGAGAGAGGGACACAGAGGGGAUGCCUGUCUCACCUGCCCCUGUCGCUGUGUCCCUGGUUCCGGCCCCAGCGACAGCACCUGCUCCACGGCCACUUGGCUCCAUUCAGAGACCAAACAGCUUCCUCUUCCGUUCCUCCUCUCAGAGUGGCUCAGGCCCUUCCUCACCAGACUCUGUCCUGAGACCUCGGCGGUACCCCCAGGUUCCAGAUGAGAAGGACUUAAUGACUCAGCUGCGCCAGGUCCUUGAGUCCCGGCUGCAGCGGCCCCUGCCUGAGGACCUGGCCGAGGCUC
rnacentral:sRNA from 1 species